UACGUAGGGGGCUAGCGUUGUCCGGAAUCAUUGGGCGUAAAGAGCGUGUAGGCGGUCCGGUAAGUCCGCUGUGAAAGUCGGGGGCUCAACCCUCGAAUGCCGGUGGAUACUGUCGGGCUAGAGUGCGGAAGAGGCGAGUGGAAUUCCUGGUGUAGCGGUGAAAUGCGCAGAUAUCAGGAAGAACACCAAUGGCGAAAGCAGCUUUCUGGGACGGUACUGACGCUGAGACGCGAAAGCGUGGGGAGCGAACAGG
rnacentral:rRNA from 1 species